UCUUAAGUAGUAUAGUGGUCAGUGCUCAUGCCUGUCAUGAGCCUUGACUCUAGAUUGCGUGAGACUGAGGUUCAAUUCCUUGUCUGAGAG
rfam:Sphaerobolus stellatus SS14 unplaced genomic scaffold SPHSTscaffold_32, whole genome shotgun sequence.